rnacentral:rRNA from 1 species
UACAGAGGGGGCAAGCGUUGUUCGGAAUUACUGGGCGUAAAGGGCGCGUAGGCGGCCUGUUAAGUCGAACGUGAAAUCCCUGGGCUCAACCCAGGAACUGCGUCCGAUACUGGCAGGCUUGAAUUCGGGAGAGGGAUGCGGAAUUCCAGGUGUAGCGGUGAAAUGCGCAGAUAUCAGGAGGAACACCGAUGGCGAAGGCAGGUCGUCUGGGCAUUAACUGACGCUGAGGAGCGAAAGCGUGGGGAGCGAACAGG